GACGUAGGGCGCGAGCGUUGUCCGGAUUUAUUGGGCGUAAAGAGCUCGUAGGCGGCUUGUCGCGUCGACUGUGAAAACCCGCGGCUCAACCGUGUGGCUUGCAGUUGAUACGGGCAGGCUAGAGUUCGGUAGGGGAGACUGGAAUUCCCGGUGUAGUGGUGGAAUGCGUAGAUAUCGGGAGGAACACCAGUGGCGAAGGCGGUUGCCUGGAGCUUUGCUGACGCUGAUGCGCGAAAGCGUGGGGAGCGAUCCGG
rnacentral:rRNA from 1 species